AAUGCUCAGAAAUCCCAACAGCAGCAGCUCCAACACCACCCGCCGUUCCCGCUCUAUCUACAGCAGUGAUCGGGAUUUGGAGUCAGCUUCUUCGCUUUCUUGCCGUAUCUGCCUUGACAGUGACACCAGAGAAGGCGACCAACUCAUAUCUCCUUGCCGCUGUAAAGGCUCCCAAGAGUUCGUCCAUAGAGAAUGCUUGGACCACUGGAGAUCUAUCAGAGUGAGCGGGCAAUAUCAUUUUUGUUCCUAUUUCACAAGGCUGUUGAUAAGUAUUUGAGCUUCUUGUCUUCACAAUCCACUAUUUCCUUCUACUACAGCAUGGGAGCACUGGUCUUCCUUAUUGGCUUGGGAUGUUAUUGUUUCUUAAAAACUUGCAUCUCCCUUGCUAAUUUGGACCAACGUAUAGCCGGCUGCCAAAACUUUUGCCUGGCCAUGUUGA